GAUGAAGAACGCAGCGAAAUGCGAUAAGUAAUGUGAAUUGCAGAAUUCAGUGAAUCAUCGAAUCUUUGAACGCACAUUGCGCCCCUUGGUAUUCCGAGGGGCAUGCCUGUUCGAGCGUCAUUAUAACCCCUCAAGCUCAGCUUGGUGUUGGGGCCUGCCGCACGGGCAGCCCUUAAAAUCAGUGGCGGUGCCAUCUGGCUCUAAGCGUAGUAAUUCUUCUCGCUAUAGAGUCCCGGUGGAUGCUUGCCAUUAACCCCCAAUUUUCUAUGGUUGACCUCGGAUCAGGUAGGGAUACCCGCUGAACUUAAGCAUAUAAUAAGCGGAGGA
rnacentral:misc_RNA from 1 species